rnacentral:rRNA from 1 species
UACGAAGGGAGCUAGCGUUGUUCGGAUUUAUUGGGCGUAAAGCGCUCGCAGGUGGUCCGCUGCGUCGUGCGUGAAAGACCCCGGCUCAACUGGGGGAUGUCGUGCGAUACGGGCGGACUGGAGGCCAGUAGGGGGAUGCGGAAUUCCGGGUGUAGUGGUGGAAUGCGUAGAGAUCCGGAGGAACACCAGCGGCGAAGGCGGCAUCCUGGACUGGUCCUGACACUCAGGAGCGAAAGCGUGGGGAGCGAGCCGG